rnacentral:lncRNA from 1 species
UAAUUCUGCCUGGCGUUUUGGUGGUUGAGGGGGCCAUCCCUAAAUAUGGUGGCUGUAUUCAGCUCUCAUUCCUUUUCUGUGUUGUGCCUUUGCUACGCUCGAGUAGGGCUUUACCUUGGCGCUCUUUUUGGUGGUAAUCGUGUUUUCGAUUUUUGAUCUGGAAGAGAGUGGGAAAUUUUACUAAGAAAUCCCCAUAAACGGCGCCAAUUAUUUGAUUCAAAAGAUAUUGGAAACUUAUUGAACAAAUCAAUCAAUAAAAAUGAUGUGGGUAAAUCUUAGUUAAAGAUAAUAAACCUCUUAUCAAAAACUAGACGGGGAACAAUAUGUAAAGGAGGUGAAGAAAACCAAUCUUAUUGAGACUUUUUAUUCUCGCUCCCCUUCAUUAAUGGAGGAGAACCUAUUACACAUUUAUUCAGAGACCACUUUGUUUGUCAUGAUUACAGAUGAGAGAAAAAUAGAGAGAGAGAUUCCCAGAAGGAUCGAGAGAGGAAGUCCCCC